rnacentral:rRNA from 1 species
UACGGAGGGUGCAAACGUUGCUCGGAAUCAUUGGGCGUAAAGCGCACGUAGGCGGCCUUGUAAGUCGGAUGUGAAAUCCCACAGCUUAACUGUGGACGUGCAUUCGAAACUGUAAGGCUCGAGUAUGGAAGAGGGUCGCAGAAUUCCCGGUGUAGAGGUGAAAUUCGUAGAUAUCGGGAGGAAUACCAGUGGCGAAGGCGGCGACCUGGGCCAAUACUGACGCUGAGGUGCGAAAGCGUGGGGAGCAAACAGG